rnacentral:rRNA from 1 species
GUGCCAGCCGCCGCGGUAAGACGUAGGGGGCGAGCGUUGUCCGGAUUUAUUGGGCGUAAAGAGCUCGUAGGCGGUUGCGUAAGUCGGAUGUGAAAACUUAGGGCUCAACCCUGAGACGCCAUCCGAUACUGCGCUGACUUGAGUCCGGUAGAGGAGUGUGGAAUUCCUAGUGUAGCGGUGAAAUGCGCAGAUAUUAGGAGGAACACCAAUUGCGAAGGCAGCACUCUGGGCCGGUACUGACGCUGAGGAGCGAAAGCGUGGGUAGCAAACAGGAUUAGAUACCCCAGUAGUCC